GAUGAAGAACGCAGCGAAACGCGAUAUGUAAUGUGAAUUGCAGAAUUCAGUGAAUCAUCGAAUCUUUGAACGCACAUUGCGCCCACUAGUAUUCUGGUGGGCAUGCCUGUUCGAGCGUCAUUUCAACCCUCAAGCCUUAGUUGCUUGGUGUUGGGAGCUUAUCUUGCCGAAAGGCGGACAACUCCUUAAAACUAUUGGCGGAGUCGCGGUGACCCCAAGCGUAGUAAAUCUUUUUUUUCUCGCUUUAGGUGUUAACGCUGGCUUUCUAGCCGUUAAACCCUCUAAAUUUUUAGUGGUUGACCUCGGAUCAGGUAGGACUACCCGCUGAACUUAAGCAUAUCAAUAAGCGGAGGA
rnacentral:misc_RNA from 1 species